UGGGGAAUAUUGGACAAUGGGCGAAAGCCUGAUCCAGCCCUGCCGCGUGUGUGAAGAAGGUCUUCGGAUUGUAAAGCACUUUAAGUUGGGAGGAAGGGCAGUAAGCGAAUACCUUGCUGUUUUGACGUUACCGACAGAAUAAGCACCGGCUAACUCUGUGCCAGCAGCCGCGGUAAUACAGAGGGUGCAAGCGUUAAUCGGAAUUACUGGGCGUAAAGCGCGCGUAGGUGGUUCGUUAAGUUGAAUGGGAAAGCCCCGGGGUCAACCUCGGAACUGCAUCCAAAACUGGCGAGCUAGAGGAGGGCAGAGGGUGGUGGAAUUUCCUGUGGAGCGGUGAAAAGCGUAGAUAUAGGAAGGAACACCAGUGGCGAAGGCGACCACCUGGGGUCAUACUGACACUGAGGUGGGAAAGCGUGGGGAGCAAACAGG
rnacentral:rRNA from 1 species